UAAUACGGAGGGUGCGAGCGUUAUCCGGAUUUAUUGGGUUUAAAGGGUGCGUAGGCGGAAUAUUAAGUCAGUGGUGAAAUCCUGCGGCUCAACCGUAGAACUGCCAUUGAUACUGAUAUUCUUGAAUGUAGUUGAGGUAGGCGGAAUGUGUAAUGUAGCGGUGAAAUGCUUAGAUAUUACACAGAACACCGAUUGCGAAGGCAGCUUACUAAACUAUUAUUGACGCUGAUGCACGAAAGCGUGGGGAGCGAACAGGAUUAGAUACCCUGGUAGUCCACGCUGUAAACGAUGAUCACUCGUUGUUUGCGAUAUAUUGUAAGCGACUGAGCGAAGGCAUUAAGUGAUCCACCUGGGGAGUACGUCGGCAACGAUG
rnacentral:rRNA from 1 species